AGGGAAAGUUGAAAUAGAACUUUGCAGAGAGAGUUAACAGGGCGUGAAACCGUUAAUUGGCAAACGAAUCGGAGCCACGAAGUCGUUUCGCUGGUCAAUCCAAGUUCAGUUUGGGAUAGCAAUAUCUCGGGCGUAUUCUUGUUGGUUGGCCAUUGUAAGCGUACACUGCAACCAGUUAGACAAUUGGCGAUGGGCCAAGUUGGGUAGAAGCCUCGGUGACUACUUAACGAAGUGCUUGUUUGCUCUAACUAGUAGUGAUAUUGUGUUUCUUCGGGAACAUGGUGUUGCUGGGUUAGAGUAAGUGAACUAUCACCAAAUACUGACUGGCACAAUGAAACUUGCUCUUAUGAGCGUGAUACACAAUGCGGCUACUCGUGUCUAAUGUCUACACAGUCAACCGUAGGGUUUAAGUUCGGCAUUUUUGAAUUUGGGCUUGCUUUCUACCAGUGGGGCAACUCCUGGUGUUGGUAUUGUCACCAUCUAAUCGGGUGUCGACUUGAUUUUGCGUUGUUUGGAUGUGCUACGAUUGGAUGUUAGAUCGAAGUGGUUUGCAAUUGAUGGCAG
rnacentral:rRNA from 1 species